CCUAGAGGGAAGUCCCCUCACGACGCUGGGAGCGAGACUCACCGGGAACUGGAAACCCCCCACAUCCCUCUGUUUAAGAGCCCACUGUGCGCCUCCGGCUGGAGUCCGCCCCGAAGACUCCUGGUCUCUCUCUCUCACACUCACGAGUCGUUUCCUUCCUCAUCUCUCUCCGAGUCAGCCUCUACGCCUAGCCGCAACCUGGUACCGGAACCUUCCCCCAACCAGAACUCAUUAUCACAACUGUGCCAGUCCUCCAACAGCAGCUUCCCGACUGUGGAUGUUUGAACUUUUAUCUUUGUCAAUAAACAUCUAAAUUU